GAAUUUUGCUCUUAACUGCCAUAGAAUGAGUAUGUGCAUGCAUAUGCGUGUGGAAGACAGACUUUUAUCAUUGAUUUUUUUUAAAUAGGAAAACUAAACAACAACUAAAAACUUUCUUUCUUUUUUUUUUUGAGACGGAGUCUGGCUCUGUCUCCCAGGCUGGAGUGCAGUGGCGCGAUCUCGGCUCACUGCAAGCUCCGCCUCCCAGAUUCACGCCAUUCUCCUGCCUCAGCCUCCCGAGCAGCUGGGACUACAGGCACCCGCCACCACACCCGGCUACUUUUUUGUAUUUUUAGUAGAAAUGGGGUUUCACCGGGUUAGCCAGGAUGGUCUCGAUCCCUGACCUGGUGAUCCACCCGCCUCGGCCUCCCAAGGUACUGGGAUUACAGGCGUGAGCCACCGCGCCCGGUCCUAAAAACUUUCUUAGUGAGAAAGAGAUAAAUGGAGGAGGAAAGCAAGAUAAAGAGGUUUGGGAUCUUUUCUGGGAUUUUGCUGAACAGGGCGUGGUGACACUGGAGGAGUCAGCAGAUUCGGUAGCAGAAGAAAGGCAAGAAGAAAGA
ensembl:lncRNA novel transcript